AAAAUUAAAUAUACCAAGCCGGAGACAGCAGGUGUCCUUGACUUAAAUAUCCUGCCUAGGUUUGCACUCCAUUUGUUCCAUGAAGACUCAUAGUGGUUUGACCAUGGCAAAAAGAGAUUUGUAAAACCCCGGCUUGGUAUAGCUGGGGUUUAUUAAUUGGGGA
rfam:Calothrix sp. 336/3, complete genome.